rnacentral:lncRNA from 1 species
GUCUCCUGAUCAAACGAGAGAGUUCGAACAUUCAAAAUGCAAUUCUCUGAGUUCUCAAACCAAACAGAUGGUGGGCAUUCCAAAGCCUCUGAGACGAACGCACACAGGUAAGUCUCCUGAUCAAACGAGAGAGUUCGAACAUCUAAUUUUGCAAGCCAAAUAAACAACACCAAAGGCAACAUAAAGAUAACCAAAGUUACAUAACGUAAAUUAGCACACAAGUCUCAUCAUUCAUGGAUGAUGAGGACGACAGUAGCAACGCAGGCUUUAUGCAUCUGGAAUCCAACCGCAUACCAAAUCCAAACGAUCGUUUGGGGCAACAGCGAGGGGCGGAUCAAUGGAUGGUGCAGGUGGACGAAGAGGAGGGAUUCUUGUCUGCCGCUUUGUCAUCGACGACGGCGCCACCGCCGGA